rnacentral:rRNA from 1 species
AUGGGGACGUGGACCCACGUCGUGAGGGCAACUUCGGCGGCCCACUCCGGCGAGAGCGCGGCCGCAGUCGCCAGGCGCGUGCUAACAAGCUUCAUGAGGGCGACCGCAGUCUGCGUCCGGGCGGCCAAGGCAGCCCAAACGACCAUUGUUGCUUCUCAGGCGGUGGCAGCAGCAUCUGCCUCGGGGAUAGCAACUGGCGAGAGCGGCACAGUAGCUGUCCAUUCCGCAGCGGCGGCCUUCGCCCUGAUGGAGGCCGCCCACUACCAUGUCGAGGCCGUCUACGCCCAGCUCGUGGUUGUCACCGUACAAAUCGAACGAAGCUUCUCUGACAACGGUCGGCAACCGACGGCCGAAGAGCUGGCAAUCUCUGACAACGGUGCCACGACGGAGCCCGCCAGAGCCCAGAUAACGGCCGCCCAUGCCCAGCUCGUGACGGCCUAUGCCAAAGAUAUGGCGGACGCGGACGGCGAGAUGCUUGCCGAGUAUGGUGCAAUUGAUGCCAUGGAGCCCCUUCCCCAGGAGACCGUCGGGCGCGAGCUGGACAUGGAGGCGGUGGCAGAGAUCAACGAGCACCAGCCGUAUUUUUCUUCUCUUCGUAAUUGUACCGACUAUAUUCGGGCUACCUCGGAUUCAAAAUGGUUCAUAAUGCAGGGUUCGUUGUAUAAACCUCUGUGUGAUGAUGCACUCAAACCAACAGUAGGCAUGACAUUUGAUGAUAUUGCUGCCGUGGAGACAUUUUAUAAGAAGUAUGCACAGCAUGUGGGAUUUGGUGUCCGCAUUGGAGCACAAAGGCUUGUGAAGAAUGUAAUUAUGUGGAAGCAUUUCUUAUGCUCAAGGGAGGGAUACCGGUCCACAAAAGAUGCAACUAGCAGGAAAAACUACAAACAUUUCCAUGAUGUGUUGUCCUUUGAUUCCACAUAUAGCACUAAUCAGUAUGACUACAUUUUUGCGCCCUUCACGGGUAUCAACCAUCAUAUGCAAGAUAUCCUUAAAUGCAUGGAUGGGGUUGCACCUAGUGUUAUUAUAACGGAUGAGUGUGGUAGCAUGAGGAACGCUAUCAAGGCACUUCUACCCCAUACCACGCAUCGGUUGUGCAUGUGGCAAAUUAUGAAGAAGGUACUUGCUGCUAGAGAGCAUUGUGAUGUCCAGGAUACUACGACUGUGGGGGAGCUGAAGAUUGUUUCCAUUAGUGAUCAAAGUCAUCGGAAAAAUAAGGUAAGAGACAUGCAUUUAGAGACAACAACCAUGAUUGCUAAAUGUUCUUGCAAGCUCUUUGAGUCCAAGGGCAUUGUGUGCCACCAUGUCAUACGCGUCUUGAGGGGUGCAAAGAGAAAUGAGCUUCCAACCUUUUAUGUUCUCAAAAGAUGGGAGAAAAUGUGCAAAAGGGAUAUUGUAUUUGACAACGAAGGGUAUGCACUUGAAGAUAAUCUGAUUGACCGCAUUGACAUGGAUACCAGAAGAAAGAUCUCGAUGGCACGGAACAAGUUAGAAGAUAUCUUCCAAUGUGCUAAAAAAUCGAGCGUAACACUUGACUCACUCAAUACGGGUCUGUGCAAUCUUGAAUCUGUUGUCUUGCAGUCUGCCUUCGUUGUUCCUCAAACUACACAAGAAGAACAAGAAUCAUACGUUGGUAGCACCUUGCUUGCCCAAGUUGAUAUCCUAACACCGACCGUUGUCAAUGCGAGGGGUACAUGCUCACGAAUUAAGGGCCACAGAGACAAUGAAAAGAAGGCAUGGUCAAAUAAGAAGAAAUUAGGGGUUACUCUACGGGUGCCGCACACUUGCAGAACAUGCAAGGAAGUUGUGUUACAUGACAGUCGUGUCUGUCCGAUGAAAAAAUAA